rnacentral:rRNA from 1 species
GACGUAGGGCGCGAGCGUUGUCCGGAUUUAUUGGGCGUAAAGAGCUCGUAGGCGGCUUGUCGCGUCGACCGUGAAAACUUGGGGCUCAACCCCAAGCCUGCGGUCGAUACGGGCAGGCUCGAGUUCGGUAGGGGAGACUGGAAUUCCUGGUGUAGCGGUGAAAUGCGCAGAUAUCAGGAGGAACACCAAUGGCGAAGGCAGAUCUCUGGGCCGUAACUGACGCUGAGGAGCGAAAGCAUGGGGAGCGAACAGG